rnacentral:tRNA from 1 species
GCGGCAGUAGCUCAGUGGUAGAGCCCCCUUCGAAUGCGGGGAGACCUGGGUUUGAUUCCCGGCUGCUUCC